UUCCGGUUGAUCCUGCCGGACCCCACUGCUAUCGGGGUGGGACUAAAACAUGCGAGUCGAGCGCCUUCAAGCUAUGGUGAAGGCGCGGCGAACGGCUCAGUAACACGUGGCUAACCUACCCUUUGGACGGGGACAACCCCGGGAAACUGGGCCUAAUCCCCGAUAGAUGAGAAGUCCUGGAAUGGUUUCUCAUCUAAAAGGUGUUUAGAGCAUGCUUCUAGGCGUCGCCAAAGGAUGGGGCCGCGGCCGAUCAGGUUGUUGGUGAGGUAACGGCUCACCAAGCCUAUAACCGGUACGGGCCGUGAGAGCGGGAGCCCGGAGAUGGGCACUGAGAUAAGGGCCCAGGCCCUACGGGGCGCAGCAGUUGCGAAAACUCCGCAAUGCGCGAAAGCGUGACGGGGCUACCCCGAGUGCCGUCCGCUGAGGACGGCUUUUCCACGGUGUAAGGAGCCGUGGGAAUAAGGAGAGGGCAAGACUGGUGUCAGCCGCCGCGGUAAUACCAGCUCUCCGAGUGGUGGGGACGAUUAUUGGGCUUAAAGCGUUCGUAGCCGGUCCGGCAAGUCUUCCGUUAAAUCCAGCGACCUAAUCGUUGGACUGCGGGAGAUACUGUUGGGCUAGGGGGCGGGAGAGGCCGACGGUAUUCUCGGGGUAGGGGUGAAAUCCUAUAAUCCCGGGAGGACCACCAGUGGCGAAGGCGGUCGGCUAGAACGCGCUCGACGGUGAUGGACGAAAGCUGGGGGAGCGAACCGGAUUAGGUACCCGGGUAGUCCCAGCCGUAAACGAUGCGGGCUAGGUGUUAGGGCGGACAAGAUCCGCUCCGGUGCCGCAGGGAAACCAUUAAGCCCGCCGCCUGGGAAGUACGGCCGCAAGGCUGAAACUUAAAGGAAUUGGCGGGGGAGCA
rnacentral:rRNA from 1 species